rnacentral:rRNA from 1 species
UAAGGUUAAGUUAAUAAGGGCGCACGGUGGAUGCCUUGGCACUAGAAGCCGAUGAAGGACGUGACUAACGACGAAAUGCUUUGGGGAGCUGUAAGUGAGCAAUGAUCCAGAGAUGUCCGAAUGGGGGAACCCGGCAGGUAAUGCCUGUCACUCAUUACUGUUAAGGUAAUGUAGAGGAAGACGCAGUGAACUGAAACAUCUAAGUAGCUGCAGGAAGAGAAAGCAAAAGCGAUUGCCUUAGUAGCGGCGAGCGAAACGGCAAGAGGGCAAACCGAAGAGUUUACUCUUCGGGGUUGUAGGACUGCAACGUGGACUUAAAGAUUAUAGAAGAACUACCUGGGAAGGUAGGCCAAAGAGAGUAAUAGCCUCGUAUUCGAAAUAGUCUUUAUACCUAGCAGUAUCCUGAGUACGGCGAGACACGAGAAAUCUCGUCGGAAUCUGGGAGGACCAUCUCCCAACCCUAAAUACUCUCUAGUGACCGAUAGUGAACCAGUACCGUGAGGGAAAGGUGAAAAGCACCCCGGGAGGGGAGUGAAAUAGAACCUGAAACCGUGUGCCUACAACAAGUUCGAGCCCGUUAAUGGGUGAGAGCGUGCCUUUUGUAGAAUGAACCGGCGAGUUACGAUAUGAUGCGAGGUUAAGUUGAAGAGACGGAGCCGUAGGGAAACCGAGUCUUAAUAGGGCGCAUUAGUAUCAUGUCGUAGACCCGAAACCAUGUGACCUACCCAUGAGCAGGUUGAAGGUGAGGUAAAACUCACUGGAGGACCGAACCAGGGCACGUUGAAAAGUGCUUGGAUGACUUGUGGGUAGCGGAGAAAUUCCAAACGAACUUGGAGAUAGCUGGUUCUCUCCGAAAUAGCUUUAGGGCUAGCGUCGAUGUUAAGUCUCUUGGAGGUAGAGCACUGUUUGGGUGAGGGGUCCAUCCCGGAUUACCAAUCUCAGAUAAACUCCGAAUGCCAACGAGAUAUAAUCGGCAGUCAGACUGCGAGUGCUAAGAUCCGUAGUCGAAAGGGAAACAGCCCAGACCACCAGCUAAGGUCCCAAAAUAUAUGUUAAGUGGAAAAGGAUGUGGGGUUGCACAGACAACUAGGAUGUUAGCUUAGAAGCAGCUAUUCAUUCAAAGAGUGCGUAAUAGCUCACUAGUCGAGUGACCCUGCGCCGAAAAUGUACCGGGGCUAAAACAUAUUACCGAAGCUGUGGAUACCUUUAUAGGUAUGGUAGGAGAGCGUUCUAUGUGCGAAGAAGGUGUACCGUGAGGAGUGCUGGAGCGCAUAGAAGUGAGAAUGCCGGUAUGAGUAGCGAAAGACAGGUGAGAAUCCUGUCCACCGUAAGACUAAGGUUUCCAGGGGAAGGCUCGUCCGCCCUGGGUUAGUCGGGACCUAAGGAGAGACCGAAAGGUGUAUCCGAUGGACAACAGGUUGAUAUUCCUGUACUAGAGUAUAUAGUGAUGGAGGGACGCAGUAGGCUAACUAAACCAGACGAUUGGAAGUGUCUGGCCAAGCAGUGAGGUGUGAUAUGAGUCAAAUGCUUAUAUCUAUAACAUUGAGCUGUGAUGGGGAGCGAAGUUUAGUAGCGAAGUUAGUGAUGUCACACUGCCGAGAAAAGCUUCUAGCGUUAAUUAUACUCUACCCGUACCGCAAACCGACACAGGUAGUCGAGGCGAGUAGCCUCAGGUGAGCGAGAGAACUCUCGUUAAGGAACUCGGCAAAAUGGCCCCGUAACUUCGGGAGAAGGGGCGCUGACUUAUGGUCAGCCGCAGUGAAUAGGCCCAAGCAACUGUUUAUCAAAAACACAGCUCUCUGCUAAAUCGUAAGAUGAUGUAUAGGGGGUGACGCCUGCCCGGUGCUGGAAGGUUAAGAGGAGUGCUUAGCAAUAGCGAAGGUAUGAAUUGAAGCCCCAGUAAACGGCGGCCGUAACUAUAACGGUCCUAAGGUAGCGAAAUUCCUUGUCGGGUAAGUUCCGACCCGCACGAAAGGCGUAAUGAUUUGGGCACUGUCUCAACGAGAGACUCGGUGAAAUUUUAGUACCUGUGAAGAUGCAGGUUACCCGCGACAGGACGGAAAGACCCCAUGGAGCUUUACUGCAGUUUGAUAUUGAGUAUCUGUACCACAUGUACAGGAUAGGUAGGAGCCUAUGACCUCGGGACGCCAGUUUCGAGUGAGGCGUUGUUGGGAUACU